rnacentral:rRNA from 1 species
UACGUAGGGUGCGAGCGUUGUCCGGAAUUAUUGGGCGUAAAGAGCUCGUAGGCGGUGUGUCGCGUCGGCCGUGAAAACCUGCAGCUUAACUGUGGGCUUGCGGUCGAUACGGGCAUCACUGGAGUUCGGCAGGGGAGACUGGAAUUCCUGGUGUAGCGGUGAAAUGCGUAGAGAUCAGGAGGAACACCAAUGGCGAAGGCAGCUCUCUGGCUUCACCCUGACGCUGAGGCGCGAAAGCGUGGGGAGCGAACGGG